AGAGAAUAUAGAGCUAUCAAACAACUUUAUCGACCUUAUUUGUUCAGAAAGCUGUAAAAAUCUGCUAUCCAAUGAACUGAGGACGGCCCACUCAAGACAUUUGAGGAACUCGUUCCAACCUUCAGCAUCGGGGGUCCCAAAUCGAACAUAGUCUAGUCGUACGCAAUGAUUAAUAUUUCCAGUAUUAAAAUCUCCGCGAACCCUAUCAAUGGUCGAUUUUACAGCGAAAUAAGAACUAGAUCGAGAAUGAGUGCGACGCAAACUGUUGGAGCGUUUUGCUUGCUGAGCUUCAGCAACAAGUACAAUCAUCCAAGAUUGAUUUUCGUUUUUCGAAACUUUUUGGAACCAUUUUGUAGCCAAUGGCUUAUGCUGUGUUUUGUAUAUUUCACCGUCCUUUUUUUACAAUGUUAGUGCGUGUCAAUCAGAAUAACUAUGGAAGCUGAUGGUAGGUUACAAGGUCAACUUUCCUUACUGUACUUACCUGCUCUGGAAGAAAAAGCAUGUUUACUAAAGGAAUAUUCAGUAACGUAGGAUCCUUUGAGGUGUCUUGAGACGAAAAUUCCUCUAACCAAGGCAAAAAUUCAAGAUCUAAGCUUGUAAUAGUGUGCUUCUUAUACUGAUAUGAUUCAACCCAUUGCAAAUUGCGAAGGGGAAUCUUACUCUCAAUGUCCGUAGCUAUUGAGGGCCAUAAGUCAAAAGGAUCAUAAUCUAAACAGCACUUCAUUAGCUCACAAUUAAAAGAGAAUAUUUCACUUACAUUGAACUAUAGGCUUCUUUUUACUCAUUAGUAAGAAAAGCCGGAAUUGUAAAGUCCUAAAUUCUUUACAAUGAUUAUCUUAAGAGUUUUGUUGACAAUUGAGUCAUAUAAACGAAUGGUGAGCUAUGCUUAGUGUUGUGACCGCAAAUCGCGUUAAUUGGCUUAUGGAAUCUUUAUGGCUUGUUAUGUAUAUUUAAC